rnacentral:rRNA from 1 species
GACGAACGCGGCGGCGUGCCUAAUACAUGCAAGUAGAACGCUGAAGGAGGAGCUUGCUUCUCUGGUGAGUUGCGAACGGGUGAGUAACGCGUAGGUAACCUGCCUGGUAGCGGGGGAUAACUAUUGGAAACGAUAGCUAAUACCGCAUAAGAGUAGAUGUUGCAUGACAUUUGCUUAAAAGGUGCAAUUGCAUCACUACCAGAUGGACCUGCGUUGUAUUAGCUAGUUGGUGGGGUAACGGCUUACCAAGGCGACGAUACAUAGCCGACCUGAGAGGGUGAUCGGCCACACUGGGACUGAGACACGGCCCAGACUCCUACGGGAGGCAGCAGUAGGGAAUCUUCGGCAAUGGACGGAAGUCUGACCGAGCAACGCCGCGUGAGUGAAGAAGGUUUUCGGAUCGUAAAGCUCUGUUGUAAGAGAAGAACGAGUGUGAGAGUGGAAAGUUCACACUGUGACG